rnacentral:tRNA from 1 species
CCUCGUAGCUCAGUGGUUAAAGAGUCUGCCUGCAAUGCAGGAGACCCAGGUUUGAUUCCUGGGUCGAGAA